rnacentral:rRNA from 1 species
GACGAACGCUGGCGGCGUGCUUAACACAUGCAAGUCGAACGGAAAGGGCUGCUUUCCCUUGUGGAUUGCGGGUACUCGAGUGGCGAACGGGUGAGUAACACGUGAGUGAUCUGCCCCCAACUUGGGUAUAAGCCUGGGAAACUGGGUCUAAUUCCCGUUAGGACUGCAGGGUGGUGCCUGUGGUGGAAAACGAUUUUCUAGUGGUUGGGGAUGAGCUCGCUGCCUAUCAGCUUGUGGGGGGGGUAAUGGCCUACCAAGGCGGCGACAGGUAGCCGGCCUGGGAGGGGGGACGGCCACAUUGGAACUGGGAUACGUCCAAGACUCCUACGGAGGGCAGCAGUGGGGAAUAUGGCACAAGGGGCGGAAGCUGGAUGCAGCGACGCCGCGUGGGGGAUGACGGCCUAUGGGUUGUAAACUCCUUUCGACCGCGAGGAAGCCACCUGGUUGGAAGGGUGGUGACGGUAGUGGAAGAAGAAGCACCGGCUAACUACGUG